GCACAGCCCCACGGCGUCCCCAUGGCACAGAUCAGCCCCACAGCGUCCCCAUUGCACCGUAUGGCACAGCUCAGCCCCACAGCACCGUAUGGCACAGCUCAGCCCCACGGUGUCCCCAUGGUGUCCCCAUGGCAGAGCUCAGCCCCAUAGCAUCCCCAUGGCACAGCUCAGCCCCAUGGCAUCCCUAUGGCACAGCUCAGCCCCACAGCAUCCCCAUAGCACAGCUCAGCCCCACAGUAUCCCCAUGGCACCGUAUGGCACAGCUCAGCCCCACAGCGUCCCCAUGGUGUCCCCAUGGCACAGCUCAGCCCCACGGUGUCCCCAUGGCACCGUAUGGCACAGCUCAGCCCCACGGCACCAUAUGGCACAGCUCAGCCCCACGGCGUCCCCAUGGCACAGCUCAGCCCCAUGGUGCCCCUAUGGUGUCCCCACGGCACCGUAUGGCACAGCUCAGACCCAUGGUGUCCCCAUGGCACUGUAUGGCACAGCUCAGCCCCACGGCGUCCCCAUGGCACAGCUCAGCCCCACGGCGUCCCCACGGUGUCCCCACGGCACUGUAUGGCACAGCUCAGCCCCACAGCGUCCCCAUGGUGUCCCCAUGGCACAGCUCAGCCCCACGGUGUCCCCACGGCACUGUAUGGCAUAGCUCAGCCCACCGACGUCCCCAUGUGUCCCAUGGCACAGCUCAGCCCCACGGCGUCCCCACGGUGUCCCCAUGGCACUGUAUGGCACAGCUCAGCCCCACAGCGUCCCC
ensembl:lncRNA